CGGGGCGUGGCGCAGCUUGGUAGCGCACCUGCUUUGGGAGCAGGGGGUCGCAGGUUCAAAUCCUGUCGCCCCGACUA
rnacentral:tRNA from 2 species